UUAUGUUGCUGUCCAGUGUAAGGAAAACAUGCUUGUCUUUGGGUAAAAAGCAGGCAUAUUUUUUACUUAUUACAGAGAGUUUGGUUUCUCUGACUCAUGUUUUGUCUCAUACUAUAACCAUGUGCAAGAUGUCAACUGAGUCUCUUCGUGCUGCACUAUGGGAAUUGGAACUUGGGGAACCUGUGUAAAUACUGACACUCUGGCUACUACUGUCAGUGGAAAUUAAGUCCUUUGUCUCUUAUCCCAGGGGGUUGUUUUUUCACUUAUUUACCUUUUGUGUUCUCUGAAAAUCUAUAACAGAGAGUAAGUUGCUAGUCAAGUAAAACCUCAAACCCCUCCAUUGUUCUGAUGGAUGAGAGGCUGGCAGAGAUAUGGCUUUCUGCAGGAAUAAAGAUAAAGGUCUCAUGGGCUGGUUAAAAGGAGAAGAGGAAAGUUCAUGUAUGAUCAACUGGCUUUAAAAAAAUCCUCCAUUUUAUUUCCUUUUAAUUAACAGGAAUUGUGGAGAUGGUUUCAGGUCGAGCACUAGGAAGUAAAUGUAAACACAACCUCAAAUGAUGCCCAAGGUAUUGCUUAUUCUCUUCUAAGAGCAAAAACUGAAGUUUCUCAGCUGGAUCAUCCUUAGGCAGAAACUUCUACCACCAUUCGUUCCAAAGAAAUGGACUGAAGAGACUUCAUUACCACGGAGGGCAAGAAUACUUGAACCUGAGACUCUUGCAUUGGCAAACCAAUUCUUCACCACUGAGCUACCUGGGAAGCCCUUGGAGAAGGGUAACCGAGUCCCAAUUCCUCCUGGCUCUAUAGUUACAGGGAUACCCAGUUUCAGAGAGAUUCAACAAUUUACAGAAUUCUUUGCAUAUUAUUGGGGCUUCCCUGGUGGCUCAGAUGUUAAAGAAUCUACCUGCAGUGCGAGAGACCUGGGUUUGAUUGCUGUGUUGGGAAGA